rnacentral:rRNA from 1 species
GACGAACGCUGGCGGCGUGCUUAACACAUGCAAGUCGAACGAUGAAGAAAAGAAUCGAAGCUUCGGCAGAAAUUCAUUUCGGAUUAGUGGCAGACGGGUGAGUAACGCGUGAGCAACCUACCUCUUACAAAGGGAUAGCCUCGGGAAACCGGGAUUAAUACCAUAUAACAUUGCGACGAAGCAUUUCGAUGCAAUCAAAGCUACGGCGGUAAGAGAUGGGCUCGCGUCCCAUUAACCGGAUGGUGAGGUAACGGCUCACCAUAGUGACGAUGGGUAACCGGGCUGAGAGGCGGAACGGUGACACUGGAACUGAGCCACGGUCCAGACUCCUACGGGAGGCAGCAGUGGGGAAUAUUGCAAAAUGGAGGGAACUCUGAUGCAGCGACGCCGCGUGAGUGAUGAAGGAAUUCGUUACGUAAAACUCUGUUAUAUGGGAAGAAAAGGACUGUACCAUAGGAGAAAGCUCCGGCUAACUACGUG